GGUGUACACACGCGUGCGCGGAGUCACAAUUUGCUUUGGAUCUUGAAGUCCUACUUUGUGCCAGAUAGUACACUAGGAAUUGGGAAAUUCACUGAAAGGAAAACAAAGUUGUUACCUCAGCAAGUUUAUCUUUUUAUUAGGAGUAGCAAUAUUGUGUUACUCUAGACAGAUUUUAAAAUGUAGUGGGGAUGUUGAUAAAGGUAUUACUAUAGUAUAAUUGGGAAGGUGACUUCAAAGAAUUUUCCUAGGUUAAAAAAGAUUGAGUAGAAUGAAAUUGGAAGAAACUAGAACAUAAAAUACAGGGAUUUUUCAGCAAUAGGAAGAAGAAAAGCUUUUUAUGAACAAGAGAAAAUAUUCUGAAAAAUAAGAAGACAAGGAAAUAGUAAUGUUACAAAGAAUCAAAGAGUAUCCAGGACUGGGGAUAUAGUUCUGUUGGUAGAGUGCUUGCCUUGCAUGUACAAGGCCCCGCAGCACACAAAAUGAAUGAAUGAAUGAAUGAAUGAAUGAAUAAAUAAAUAAAUAAAUGAGUCAAAGUCUUAAGAAAAAAAAAACAAAAUACAAAGAGUAUCCAAUGGGAAAGGAAA
rnacentral:lncRNA from 1 species